UCUAAUAUGGCAGAAUAGUGCAUUGGACUUAAACCCCAAAUAUAAAGGCCCCCCCUUUUAUUAGAA
rnacentral:tRNA from 1 species